UACGUAGGGACCGAGCGUUGUCCGGAAUCAUUGGGCGUAAAGAGCGUGUAGGCGGCCACUUAAGUCCUGCGUGAAAUCUUGCGGCUCAGCCGCAAGCGGUCGUGGGAAACUGGGUGGCUAGAGUGCGGGAGAGGAGAGUGGAAUUCCUGGUGUAGCGGUGGAAUGCGCAGAUAUCAGGAAGAACACCCGUGGCGAAGGCGGCUCUCUGGAACGCAACUGACGCUGAGACGCGAAAGCGUGGGGAGCAAACAGG
rnacentral:rRNA from 1 species